GCUGAAUCAGUGAAUCCAAAGGGAAUCUUUCCACUGGCUUCGGUGGGCUUUGGAGGAGCCCUAAGUGAUGCACACACCAAAAAUCAGGAGGAGGAGGAAACUUGAGAGUCCAGAGCAGACGCGUCCAAGUCAUGGAAGAGAGCUACACAAAGACGCUUGCUCGCGCUGCUACUGGUAGCUAAUUUCAGGGUCGGAAACAACACAUUUGGAGUCAAGUUGCAAAAGAAUGAGGUGCAAAGAGAAGAGCAAUUACAUAAAAUAAGCCAGAAGGGCAUUUGACUAUGCAGUUCAAGGAUACGAUUUGUGAUCUGAAGGAAGAAAUACUGUAUUUCAGACUAAAAAAGUGACUGCACUAAGAAGGUCAGCUGAGACAGGCACCACACGUACCACAGCCCCGCUCCAGCGAAAGAGAAAUUAACUCAGGUAUGGAGCGUGUCAUCAGGCAUCACCUAAUGAGAUAAUGGAAAGACCUCCAGCUUUGUCACAAUUACAUUGCUGUUAGAGCAGCCAUCCUUGCAUAUUUCAUAGAGCUACACAAUGAUUUGAGGUCUCCUUUUGGGAUACUGGUACAAUAGCUUUUCAUAAGCCCAUGGCUUCCCUCCGCUCCCUUCCUUCAGCAGUGAAAUUCUGCCAUUCGAUCCAAU